UACGGAGGGUGCAAGCGUUAUCCGGAUUCACUGGGUUUAAAGGGUGUGUAGGCGGGCAGUUAAGUCAGUGGUGAAAUCUCCAGGCUCAACCUGGAAACUGCCAUUGAUACUAUCUGUCUUGAAUUCUGUUGAGGUGGGCGGAAUACAUCAUGUAGCGGUGAAAUGCUUAGAUAUGAUGUAGAACACCGAUUGCGAAGGCAGCUCACUAAACAGAUAUUGACGCUGAGGCACGAAAGCGUGGGGAUCAAACAGG
rnacentral:rRNA from 1 species